AUGCAAUAUUCUGGCAAUUUUGACAACACUGAGGUUUUUGUACGGCGGGUGAAUGAGUCUGUAUCACUGUGGUACACUUUUGGUGGCGGCACAAAACUGUCAGUUGGACGUGACACAGUCCCCGCCCUCACAGUCCUGCCCCCCUCCCGGGAGGAGCUGAGUCAGCAGGGAAAGGCCACACUGGUGUGUCUGGCCAACCGGGGCUUCCCCUCGGACUGGGCCCUGCGCUGGAAGGUGGACGGUGCCGACAUCAGCUCGGGCGUGGCCGGGAGCGCGGGGGUCCUGGGGCAGGACGGCCUGUACAGCUGGAGCAGCUCCCUGACCCUCAGCGCGGACGCCUGGAAGAAGGCGGAGUCGCUGACCUGCGAGGCCACGCAGGGGUCCCAGUCCACCCCCUCUCAGACGCUGAGGAGGGACCAGUGUUCUGAGUAGGCCUGGGGGGGUGGGCAGCUCACACCCUCUGAUCUCACUGUUUUUACCCUGUUCUGCUCUCAGCCCCUCUGCCCCUUACUGCUGACACACUGAGCUCAGUCUGUGUGUGAAUCCCCUCCUCCAGCCUGAGCUUUUACUGCUAAUAUCUCACAUGUGCUCUGCUUGUGCUGCUCAACAAACUUGCACACACAUGCUUCCUUACUUGUGUUUGUGUGAUUUUUGGCGAUAGCAGUUAGAUCAAACUCAUUGACAUAAUAAAGAUUCUUUGAACAGA